UGUUCAGGUGCAUUUUCUCUCCGCCAGUUUUAUCAACAUUUACCGUGGAAGAUCAGUGUUCAGCGCUGCAAGCUGUAGCAACUGUACAUCUUCAAGGUUGAAGUAGUUGUCCAUUUUAAUAUGGGCAUUAGCAGCAAACAGAUGCUACACUCAUUUGUAUGCCUUCCAGGGACAGGGAUAUUAAGACAUACAGCGUACGUUAUGAAGAACUGUGCAUUUCAGAGAAGACCUGUGUAACAGAAGAGAAUACAAGGAUACCAACAGCACAGGUCCCGCUCAUAUCCUGCGCCUCACUGUGGCGAGCGGGUGAAACAAAGAACGGUGCAUUCCCGCAACUGAAAUCAUUGUUACUUUGACUGUGUCAGCCUCCAUUUUAGUUGAGGCCUACGUGUGUAUGGUUUUGUUCCGACUGCCUGUCAAA